rnacentral:sRNA from 1 species
GCUGGGCAUGGUGGUUCAUGCCUGUAAUCCCAGCAACUCAGGAGGCUAAAGUAGGAGGAUCACGAGUUCACAGCCAGCCUCAGCAAUUUAGCAAGGCCCUAAGCAACUUAGUGAGACCCUGUCUCAA